CAAACAGGAUUAGAUACCCUGGUAGUCCACGCCCUAAACGAUGUCUACUAGUUGUCGGGUCUUAAUUGACUUGGUAACGCAGCUAACGCGUGAAGUAGACCGCCUGGGGAGUACGGUCGCAAGAUUAAAACUCAAAGGAAUUGACGGGGACCCGCACAAGCGGUGGAUGAUGUGGAUUAAUUCGAUGCAACGCGAAAAACCUUACCUACCCUUGACAUGUACAGAAUCCCGAAGAGAUUUGGGAGUGUUCGAAAGAAAACUGUAACACAGGUGCUGCAUGGCUGUCGUCAGCUCGUGUCGUGAGAUGUUGGGUUAAGUCCCGCAACGAGCGCAACCCUUGUCAUUAGUUGCUACGAAAGGGCACUCUAAUGAGACUGCCGGUGACAAACCGGAGGAAGGUGGGGAUGACGUCAAGUCCUCAUGGCCCUUAUGGGUAGGGCUUCACACGUCAUACAAUGGUACAUACAGAGGGCCGCCAACCCGCGAGGGGGAGCUAAUCCCAGAAAGUGUAUCGUAGUCCGGAUUGUAGUCUGCAACUCGACUACAUGAAGUUGGAAUCGCUAGUAAUCGCGGAUCAGCAUGUCGCGGUGAAUACGUUCCCGGGUCUUGUACACACCGCCCGUCACACCAUGGGAGCGGGUUUUACCAGA
rnacentral:rRNA from 1 species